rnacentral:rRNA from 1 species
GACGAACGCUGGCGGCGUGCUUAACACAUGCAAGUCGAACGAAGUGGCGAACGGGUGAGUAAUACGUGAGUAACCUGCCCUCCUUUUUGGGAUAAGCCUUGGAAACGGGGUCUAAUACCGAAUAAAGGGGGAUGGGCUCGCGGCCUAUCAGCUGGUUGGUGGGGUGAUGGCCUACCAAGGCGGUGACGGGUAGCCGGCCUGAGAGGGUGACCGGCCACAUUGGGCCGGGGUUACGUCCCAGAUUCCGACGGCAGGCAGCAGUGGGGGAUAUUGGACAAUGGGCGUAUGCCGCAUGCAGCGAGUCCGCGUGAGGGAUGAAGGCUUUCGGGUUGUAAACCUCUUUAGCGAUGGAGCGGGUAGGUGGAGAAGAAGCGCCGGCUAACUACGUGCCAGCAGCCGCGGUAAUAC